UUAAAAAGCUCGUAGUUGGAGUUCUGCCAGGUGACGACUACGUCCGCCCAAGUGGUGUGUACAGGGACGUGCAUCUGGCCCUUUCAAGGGGAACGUGUCUGCACUUUAUUGUGUGGUGCGAGAUCCUUGACUUUUACUUUGAGGAAAUAAGAGUGCUCCAAGCAGGCUCUCGUCGUGCAUAGCUCAGCAUGGAAUAAUAGCAUUGGACUUCGUUUCUAAGCUGUUGGUUUGCAAGAAGCGAGGUAAUGAUGAAGAGGGAU
rnacentral:rRNA from 1 species